UGGAUGGGUUUUCUGGCAAAUAUGCAAAACGAGGUCCCACAGACACGUCCAGAGCAUCCUCUGGACCCUGAGGUUGACAAUGGACUCGCUGAAGUCACAAACACACUUCGUGUGACUUCUGACCAGCAGAAGGUUCCACUCUCUGAAGAGCUCUUCAAAAAAGUCAUGGGCCCUCUGUAUGUGCUACAGGAUCACAAUGCUCUUGCGGAGGUCGAGGAGAGCACAUGCCAGCCACAAAACAGAAACAGAACAAAAAAGAAGCAGUCUAAGAAGAUGUCUUGGUUUGGCUGCAUCAGCUGCUUUGGCAGUAGAACGAUGGACUAACUAAUCUACACACUACAUUUUCACCAAGAUUUUUAUUUAUUUAUUUUUUUAAUUGAAAAUGAGAAUUAAAGUAUUUUCAUAUUUUACA